rnacentral:rRNA from 1 species
AUUCCGGUUGAUCCUGCCGGAGGCCAUUGCUAUCGGAGUCCGAUUUAGCCAUGCUAGUUGCACGGGUUCAGACCCGUAGCAGAUAGCUCAGUAACACGUGGCCAAACUACCCUGUGGACGGGAAUAACCUCGGGAAACUGAGGCUAAUCCCCGAUACGGCUCGCAUGCUGGAGUGCAGCGAGCCGGAAACGCUCCGGCGCCACAGGAUGUGGCUGCGGCCGAUUAGGUAGACGGUGGGGUAACGGCCCACCGUGCCGAUAAUCGGUACGGGUCAUGAGAGUGAGAGCCCGGAG